GAUUUCUAUAUCCUGCCUGCGAAUCGAAGCUCUUAUCUCUCUAGCUCAUGAAUAAAUCACCCGCCGGAAAGGAAUAGCCGGAAUAGAAUGAAGGAAUGAUUCAAUCUUCCAUCAUUUCAGAGCCGACGCCUCCUUUUCUGCCUUUCUAUCUAUACUUCCCAUCCCAGCAAAUUAUGGAACAAGCAACGGCUUUCGCGCGAAAAAGUUUUUUUGCUGGGUCUCGCUUGCACAUUUCUGGGUUUGACCUUUCGUCCCUUAGUCUCACUAUGUUCAACUAAGCCACUUCGUCCCUAGACUCGGAUUUUCACGCCUUUCAAAACCUCAAAGGCGCAAUCC
rnacentral:lncRNA from 1 species